rnacentral:sRNA from 1 species
AUACACCAAAAUGAAGACUGCCACCAACAUCUACAUUUUCAACCUUGCUCUGGCAGAUGCCUUAGCCACCAGUACCCUGCCCUUCCAGAGUGUGAAUUACCUAAUGGGAACAUGGCCAUUUGGAACCAUCCUUUGCAAGAUAGUGAUCUCCAUAGAUUACUAUAAUAUGUUCACCAGCAUAUUCACCCUCUGCACCAUGAGUGUUGAUCGAUACAUUGCAGUCUGCCACCCUGUCAAGGCCUUAGAUUUCCGUACUCCCCGAAAUGCCAAAAUUAUCAAUGUCUGCAACUGGAUCCUCUCUUCAGCCAUUGGUCUUCCUGUAAUGUUCAUGGCUACAACAAAAUACAGGCAUGGUUCCAUAGAUUGUACACUAACAUUCUCUCAUCCAACCUGGUACUGGGAAAACCUGCUGAAGAUCUGUGUUUUCAUCUUCGCCUUCAUCAUGCCCGUGCUCAUCAUUACCGUGUGCUAUGGACUGAUGAUCUUGCGCCUCAAGAGUGUCCGCAUGCUCUCUGGCUCCAAAGAAAAGGACAGGAAUCUUCGAAGGAUCACCAGGAUGGUGCUGGUGGUGGUGGCUGUGUUCAUCGUCUGCUGGACUCCCAUUCACAUUUACGUCAUCAUUAAAGCCUUGGUUACAAUCCCAGAAACUACGUUCCAGACUGUUUCUUGGCACUUCUGCAUUGCUCUAGGUUACACAAACAGCUGCCUCAACCCAGUCCUUUACGCAUUUCUGGAUGAAAACUUCAAACGAUGCUUCAGAGAGUUCUGUAUCCCAACCUCUUCCAAUAUUGAGCAACAAAACUCCACUCGAAUUCGUCAGAACACUAGAGACCACCCCUCCACGGCCAAUACAGUGGAUAGAACUAAUCAUCAGAAUUAUUAUAUAAUUCAUAGAUGUCACUGCAAUAUCCCUCUUAUUUCUCAAAAGCCAGUCUUGCUCUGGUUCUGUGAUUAAAGAGAGAGGGUCAGUGCCUUGCCCACUGUGGUCAUGGAUGCGAGAUAUUCACAGAAAAUUAGCAGCAU